UGUACCCUAAAACUUAAAGUAUAAUAAAAAAAAAAGUGGGUCUAGGACCCCAUAAGCCCAUUGUUCAAGUCAGCCUGACAAACUGGUCAGUAGCUAAUUUUGCUAUAGGUCUCCGAAGAAAAAAAAUGGGAUGAGGUCUCCGUUUUCUUUUACCUACUUGGGAGCUUGACCUUGUAACCACAUGGCAAUACUUUUUUGGUCUCCGCCGUUUUACAGUGGUGGCCCAGGUUCAAUCCUGGCUUAGGGAAUGAGUAUUUUCUGGUUAAUAUCUGUGUGACUUUUUCCAUUUGCUGAUUCUCUUCCCCUCCAUGAACAACUUCCAUAAUAGCUUCCUUUCUUAAAUCUUCCUUUCUCUGAGUUACCUUUAAAGAUUCUAGAUUUUGUAAAAACUGCUUACCACCUGUUUGAAAAUACCUUGUACACUCACGGUUAAGUCAUAGCCUUAGGUGAGGCUUGUUGGUUUCACCUAUGAGGUUACUUUUGGCAAAGUUUAAAAGCCAGAAAUAUUGGCCACUUGGUGUGGCUAAAGUUGGGUAAUAAGGGAUUUAAAAGGAUAUUUUUUUGAAAGAGUGUUAUGGUUGAAAGUCAGCUUAAUUAGGGCAACCCCCUUUGGGUCCCCUCCCAUUUUAUGGGAGCUCUGUUUUCACUCUAUUAAAUCUUGCAACUGCACACUCUUCUGGUCCGUGUUUGUUACAGCUUGAGCUGAGCUUUCACUCGCCAUCUACCACUGCUGUUUGCCGCCAUCACAGACCCGCUGCUGACUUUCACCCCUCCGGAUCUGGCAGGGUGUCUGCUGUGCUCCUGAUCCAGUGAGGCGCCCAUUGCCACCCCGGAUUGGGCUAAAGACUUGCCAUUGUUCCUGCACGGCUAAGUGCCCGGGUUCAUCCUAAUCGAGCUGAACACUAGUUGCUGGGUUCCACGGUUAUCUUCCGUGACCCACAGCGUCUAAGAGAGCUAUAACACUGCAUGGCCCAGAUUCCAUUCCUUGGAAUCCGUGAGGCCAAACCCCAGGUCAGAGAACAAGAGGCUUGCUGCCAUCUUGAGAGCGGCUGCCACCAUCUUGGGAGCUCUAAGAACAAGCCCCCACCCCAACCGGUAACAUUUUGGCGACCAUGAAGGGACCUCCAAAGCAGCAAUGAAGAAAAAACAGAACAUAACUGUCAACAAGUAAUUGCUCAAACCUGCACCGCUCAAGGAGAUCUUCUAGAGGUUCCCUUGACUGAUCCCGACCUCAACUUGUAUACUGAUGGAAGUUCCUUUGUAGAAAAAAGACUUCAAAAAGUGGGGUAUGCAGUGGUCAGUGAUAAUGGAAUACUUGAAAGUAAUCCCCUCACUCCAGGAACUAGCGCUUAGCUGGCAGAACUAAUAGCCCUCACUCAGGCACUAGAAUUAGGAGAAGGAAAAAGGGUAAAUAUAUAUACAGACUCUAAGUAUGCUUACCUAGUCCUCCAUGCCCAUGCAGCAAUAUGGAGAGAAAGGGAAUUCCUAACUUCCGAGGGAACACCUAUCAAACAUCAAGAAGCCAUUAGGAGAUUAUUAUUGGCUGUACAGAAACCUAAAGAGGUGGCAGUCUUACACUGCUGGGGUCAUCAGAGGGGAAAGGAAAGGGAAAUAGAAGGGAACCACCAAGCGGAUAUUGAAGCCAAAAGAGCCACAAGGCGGGACCCUCCAUUAGAAAUGCUUAUAGAAGGACCCCUAGUAUGGGGUAAUCCCCUCUGGGAAACCAAGCCCCAGUACUCAGCAGGAGAAAUAGGAUGGGGAACUUCACAAGGACAUAGUUUCCUCCCCUCAGGAUGGCUAGCCACAGAAGAAGGGAAAAUACUUUUGACUGCAGCUAACCAAUGGAAAUUACUUAAAACCCUUCACCAAACCUUUCACUUAGGCACAUAGCACCCAUCAGAUAGCCAAAUCAUUAUUUACGGGACCAGGCCUUUUCAAAACUAUCAAGCAGAUAGUCAGAGCCUGUGAAGUGUGCCAAAGAAAUAAUCCCCUGCACUGCAGCCACACAUUUCAAUCCCUGUAUCUUUAACCUCUUUGUUAAGUUUGUCUCUUCCAGAAUCGAAGCUGUAAAACUACAAAUGGUUCUUCAAAUGGAGCCACAAUGCAGUCCACAACUAAGAUCUAGUGCAGACCCCUGGACUGGCCUGCUAGCCCAUGCUCCAAUGUUGAUGACAUCGAAGGCAUGCCUCCUGAGGAAAUCUCAACUGCACGACCCCUACUAUGCCCCAAUUCAGCAAAAAGCAGUUAAAGCGGUUGUCGGCCAACCUCCCCAACAGCACUUGGGUUUUACUGUUGAGAGGGGGGACUGAGAGACAGGACUACCUGGAUUUCCUAGGCCGACUAAGAAUCCCUAAGCCUAGCUGGGAAGGUGACCACAUCCACCUUUAAACACAGGGCUUGCAACUUAGCUCACACUUGACCAGUCAGGUAGUAAAGAGAGCUCACUAAAAUGCUAAUUAGGCUAAAACAGAAGGUAAGGAAAUAGCCAAUUAUCUAUCACCUGAGAGCAUGGGGGAGGGACAAUGAUCGGGAUAUAAACCCAGGCAUUCAAGCCAUUGGGUCCCCUCCCAUUUUAUGGGAGCUCUGUUUUCACUCUAUUAAAUCUUGCAACUGCAAAAAAAAAAUUUUGAGUCAUCUUUUUUGCUAAAUGACUUAUGGUAACCUGGAAUUCUAUUUCAUUAUAUCAAGUGUUUUCACCUUUAACAUAUUUCAUAGGCUUCCCAAAAUCAAAUUUCAGCUUUGAAACUGUCUUUUCUGACUCCUGAAUUUUGAAUGCUACAGAGGGCUCCUGAAGCAACUAACAGAGAGGUAAACAGGAUUAUUUUACAUAUUUAGUUACACGGGAUUGUCAGAAUAAAAAUAAUGUUUAAUCUUCUUCAGGUUAUAUUUUAGUGAAUAAUAGUAAUAUAUGUUCCAAAAUUUUAUGGGAUUUCUAAAAUUCUAAUGUCUAAGUAUAUGCUAUCUAAUCAUAAUUAAGGUUACUAUGUUAAGUUAUUGUAAACCACAGAAAUAACUGAAUUUGUCAGUCAUGUUUUUUUUUGUCUUGUUUUGAUCCUUUUCAAAAGAUGGUUUAAAAUCAGCUAUAGAACUUUGACAGGUGCUCUUAAAUUCAGGUUCCUGAUGUCUUUGGAGAUUGUGACAUUGGAAUAAAGGAAAAAUGUCCAAGACUCAUGAAGAGAUGAAAUGUUCAUGAGUAUCAAGCAGAAAAGAGUUAACUGAAUGAACUGAACUAACAGAGAACUGAAGUAAUCUUUUUUUAACUUUUUGCCUAAAACAUUGCUUAACCUUGUUUUGUUUUUGAGAAUCAAGGAAACUUUUCUUCUGAGCUAGCUACAGUAUUUAACAAUUGGGUAAAGUAUACUCCUGUGAACAAAAUUUGGAGCAUAUUUGUUUCUCUCUGCCUGGUUUCUCUAGAAUUUGGAAACUAUUUGUGAGUAUUCUUAACUUACGGUGAUAUAAUUGCUUGCAUAAGUGCAAGAAGAAUCCAUUUUCUCUUGCAACAGGAUGCAAUUGGAAAGACUGGUUGUUUUACUAAGGCUUCAACUAGAAGGAUGUGCUUCCCUUUAAGGAACCAAGCUUUACUAGCAGAGCCAAUAAAAGCCCCUUGGGAAAACUGGCCUCAUAUCUUGUCUACACAGUUCCUGUACAGGGUUGCUAACCUGUGGUGAGUAAAGAAUGUAACUUUCUAACAGGCUUAGGAGCCCCAAGUUAUCUUGGGACCCCAACAAGAGAGGAAUUUGGAAACUCAAAGGUAUUUGAGGAUACAAACCCAUGUCUGGGCUUGGCUUUAAAAAGUCUUGUCUGAGAUUCCUUAUGGAACAGAGUUCCAUCAGAGCCCAUUUAAAAAGCCUAUAUGAAAAUAAUUAUUUUUGCUGCACUUUAUGCAAAUAAUCAGGCCAAGUAUAAGACUAAAGUUUAUUUUGCAAGCAAAUCAGUCCUAUCAUGAUUUGUUUUUAACAAAAAUGAGGACUGUAGAGAGAAAAUUAUGUUUCAAAACUUAUACUUUUGUCAUUAAAUUCUAGUCACAUCAGUUGUUUUUAAGUUUUCAUGUACAUUUUAGACUAACCCUGCUUAUUCAUGUGAACCAACCAGUGAUCUCCAGCUGCAGCUCAGAAGGAACAGAAGGAAUGGGUAAUGUAAAAAUCUGAAUCAAAUAUUCUAGUUCUGGGCAAUUAUCUUGCAAAUCUUGCCCGGUGAUAGGAGUAAAUGGGGUGCCCAUAACAGGAGGUUUCUUUUUUGGGAAAAUAAGACCAAAUCAGCUAACUAACCAAAGCCAAUUCCCAUGCACGCAAAUCUUAGCAGGCGUAACUAUUAAUAUAGCAUGUCAACAGCCUGGGGAUUUUUGAGCUGUCCUUAUUCGCUUGUUCCAUUUUAAUCCAUGUCUUCUAAUAACCCUGUUUGUCUCAUCUUGCUUUCAGGCCAUCAAACUCCAAUGUUCAUGCAACCAGAGCCUUGGAUGAUGGCUCCUUUUUACCAGGGACUUUUAGAUAGGCCUCUGAAGGAUAUCUGACUGCUGUUUUCCCAAAAUAACAGCCCCUGUCAGCAUGAAGUAGUUAAAAUUGGUCAUCGUUCUUAUCCUAAUGGAAGUUAGAUGUACCUCUUCAGAGGAGGGAAUGAUAGAGGUAGGAAGCAGAAAAAUGCUUAGGCAGAUAGGGAUGAGUCCCUAGUGAAACCCCACCUCCAAGUCAAAGACAGUUUAAAGCCUGAAAGUCAUGCCACAAGUUAAAUCCACAGACUGGAUUGAGAACCUAUCUUCCUAUUUGGUGCACUUUCCUCUGAUUGAGCCCUGCCUUUCAUCUAUUUUACAUAUACCUACCCUUCCAUAAUUUUUUUUUACACUCUUGUGACCACCUUUGAGUGGUUCCUUAGUUUUAACAUUUUUUACAUACUCACAAAUCAGUCAGCACGCCCUCCCCAUUCUGUGCCUAUGAAAACCCUGAACUCAGCCACACUUUGAAACUGUCCAUCUUUGGGCAGGGGUGGGGACUGCCUGCCUUCAGGCAGGAGAGAGAGACAACCUGAACUUCCCCUCUCCUCUCCACUGAGAGCUGUUUCAUCACUCAAUAAAAUUCUCUGUCCUCAUCACCCUUCAAUUGUCAGUGUGACCUCAUUCUUCUUGGAUGUUGGACGAGAAUUGGAGACCACUGAAUGCAGGGGCUGACUGCGCUGUCACAGCAGCCAUGGGAGCCGUGGGCCAUAGUGCAAGCCAAACAUGGCCCAGUGGGCCGAGUAGACAGGGUGCCCCCUGCUGCAAGCCUGGCAAAAGGGCUGAGAAAAAUCCUGCAUCACUAUUAUUUGGACUCUGACAUGCUAUUUAAAAAGAAAUUAAUUCAGAAAUACAGCCCAGCAUGGCAAUGUAAUAUUAGAAAUAAAAUCUAAAUUAUUUUCUUGCCUA